rnacentral:rRNA from 1 species
GAUGAACGCUGGCGGCGUGCCUAAUACAUGCAAGUCGAGCGAACAGACGAGGAGCUUGCUCCUCUGACGUUAGCGGCGGACGGGUGAGUAACACGUGGAUAACCUACCUAUAAGACUGGGAUAACUUCGGGAAACCGGAGCUAAUACCGGAUAAUAUAUUGAACCGCAUGGUUCAAUAGUGAAAGACGGUUUUGCUGUCACUUAUAGAUGGAUCCGCGCCGCAUUAGCUAGUUGGUAAGGUAACGGCUUACCAAGGCAACGAUGCGUAGCCGACCUGAGAGGGUGAUCGGCCACACUGGAACUAAGACACGGUCCAGAAUCCUACGGGAGGCAGCAGUAGGGAAUCUUCCGCAAUGGGCGAAAGCCUGACGGAGCAACGCCGCGUGAGUGAUGAAGGUCUUCGGAUCGUAAAACUCUGUUAUUAGGGAAGAACAAAUGUGUAAGUAACUAUGCACGUCUUGACGGUACCUAAUCAGAAAGCCACGGCUAACUACGUG